UGGGAUAUAGCCAAGUGGUAAGGCAGUAGUUUUUGGUACUAAUAUCAAAGGUUCGAAUCCUUUUAUCCCAG
rnacentral:tRNA from 1 species